UACGUAGGGCGCGAGCGUUGUCCGGAAUCACUGGGCGUAAAGGGCGCGCAGGUGGGUUCGCAAGCGGGGGGUGAAAGGCCGGGGCUCAACCCCGGGACUGCUUCCCGAACUGCGGAUCUAGAGGGGGUCAGGGGCCAGCGGAAUUCCGGGUGGAGAGGUGAAAUUCGUAGAGAUCCGGAGGAACGCCGGCGGCGAAAGCGGCUGGCUGGGGCCGCCCUGACACUGAGGCGCGAGAGCGUGGGGAGCAAAC
rnacentral:rRNA from 1 species